UAUAUUACUGAUCAACCAUUUCUGCAUUAUGCACCACGUGUAAUAUUGUUUAGUUUCAUUUUUACUGAUUUCUAAUUCCAAGUUUGAUCUAAGUAUAUUUACAUAUAAAAAUUUCAUUUUAUGAUCAGUAAAAAUGAAAAAAAAAAAAAAAAACAAAUAAUACAGAACAAAAAAUAUAAACAUCCUCAGGCUAGUAUGAGGAUUUCAGGGAUAUCUUUUCAUCAGACCCUGACAUCAGGAGAUUUUUAAUGUGUAUUUCCAACAUGGAGAAAUGUCGGAUGGUCAUAUAAUUUAUCGACUCAUGGAUUCGUGAUACCGAAGUCUAGAAUCAGAGAUUGACAAACUACUUAUUAACAUAAGCAUAAGCAAUUGGCAAUAAUAAGCAAUUAACAUAAAGGAUAUAGCAAAUAACAAUUAGUCUUACUUAAAUUUACUUAAUUCUAACUUAAAUCUAUGGUACAAGGUUUUGGGAGAGAGAGAGUGUGAGUUCCUCGAGUUUCCACAUAGAGAUCUGAGAGAGAGUUUAUCGGUAACAUCUAAUUAACAAUCCGUUUAGAUUAUUUUCAAAUAUACAACACUAAAUGUUCAAAUGUUCAUAAGCACUUUUGAAACAGUUCACUGUUGCACAGAUCCUUUAAGUAUAUGUCUUCAUUGUCCAUUGUCUAUCAUGUCAUCCUUGCUAUUCAUGCUAUCAUCGUCUAUUUUCUCCAUCAGCUGCUCUGAUGGGACAAGUUGCUUUCCUGUCAUUCAAUCUAUCAUUAUUUCUUUGUUCACUUAUAUAUUAUUAACUUCUUCUUUCUCUGGCUGUCUCUCUAAG
rnacentral:lncRNA from 1 species